GAUGAAGUAUCCUUCUUUGCCUCACGUUUCAUCAGUGUCUGAUAAAACUCCACUAGUUCAGGAGCCCGAUGAACCUUCUCACCACUUCCUGUUCCUCUAGGAAGACUGCCUGGUGGAGGGGGUGGACGAGGUGGCCCGCCUGGUGGUGGUGGAGGCGGUGGCGGCAUGCCCGGCAAGGGUGGAGGCAUAGGUGGGCCUGCCGAUGUAACCGCACCGGCAUUAUUUGCAAUGCUAGGAGCAGCUCCUGAUGGUUUAGGUGGUGGACGAGGUGUCCUCGGAGGCCUCUUCUCAACGUUUGCAAGCUUCAUUCUACUCACUGUUUGAGGAUCAUCUGCCUUAG
rnacentral:lncRNA from 1 species